GUCCUUUAGAAUUUAAUUGAAGGUCUGACCUGCCCAGUGAUUAAUUUAACGGCCGCGGUAUACUGACCGUGCAAAGGUAGCAUAAUCAUUAGUCUUUUAAUAGAGGGCUGGAAUGAAAGGUUUGACGAGGAAUUGACUGUCUCAUUUUGUUUGUUUUAGAAUUUAAUUUUUUAGUCAAAAAGCUAAAAUAUAAUUGGAAGACGAGAAGACCCUAUAGAUCUUUAUAUAAUUUUAUUUAAUUAUUUUAAUAUUAGUAUAUUUAAAUUAUAAUUGUAUUUUGUUGGGGUGACAAAAAUAUAUAAUUAACUUUUUUAUUUAUUUACCAUUGAUGAAUGAAUAUUAGAUCCAUUUAUAGUGAUUAAUAGAUUAAGUUACCUUAGGGAUAACAGCGUAAUCCUCCUCCAGAGUUCAUAUUUACAGGAUGGGCUUGCGACCUCGAUGUUGGAUUAAGAUAAUAAUUAGGUGUAGCCGCUUAAUUUAUAGGUCUGUUCGACCUUUAAAUUCUU
rnacentral:rRNA from 1 species